rnacentral:rRNA from 2 species
AGCCGGCGAUGUCCGAAUGGGGAAACCCAGUGCAAUUCGUUGCACUAUCGUUAACUGAAUACAUAGGUUAACGAGGCGAACCGGGGGAACUGAAACAUCUAAGUACCCCGAGGAAAAGAAAUCAACCGAGAUUCCCCCAGUAGCGGCGAGCGAACGGGGAGCAGCCCAGAGUCUGAAUCAGCUUGUGUGUUAGUGGAACGGUCUGGAAAGUCCGACGGUACAGGGUGAUAGUCCCGUACACCAAAAUGCACAGGUUGUGAACUCGAAGAGUAGGGCGGGACACGUGGUAUCCUGUCUGAAUAUGGGGGGACCAUCCUCCAAGGCUAAAUACUCCUGACUGACCGAUAGUGAACCAGUACCGUGAGGGAAAGGCGAAAAGAACCCCGGCGAGGGGAGUGAAAAAGAACCUGAAACCGUGUACGUACAAGCAGUGGGAGCCUCUUUAUGGGGUGACUGCGUACCUUUUGUAUAAUGGGUCAGCGACUUAUAUUCUGUAGCAAGGUUAACCGUAUAGGGGAGCCGCAGGGAAACCGAGUCUUAACUGGGCGUUAAGUUGCAGGGUAUAGACCCGAAACCCGGUGAUCUAGCCAUGGGCAGGUUGAAGGUUGGGUAACACUAACUGGAGGACCGAACCGACUAAUGUUGAAAAAUUAGCGGAUGACUUGUGGCUGGGGGUGAAAGGCCAAUCAAACCGGGAGAUAGCUGGUUCUCCCCGAAAGCUAUUUAGGUAGCGCCUCGUGAACUCAUCUUCGGGGGUAGAGCACUGUUUCGGCUAGGGGGUCAUCCCGACUUACCAACCCGAUGCAAACUACGAAUACCGAAGAAUGUUAUCACGGGAGACACACGGCGGGUGCUAACGUCCGUCGUGAAGAGGGAAACAACCCAGACCGCCAGCUAAGGUCCCAAAGUCAUGGUUAAGUGGGAAACGAUGUGGGAAGGCACAGACAGCCAGGAUGUUGGCUUAGAAGCAGCCAUCAUUUAAAGAAAGCGUAAUAGCUCACUGGUCGAGUCGGCCUGCGCGGAAGAUGUAACGGGGCUAAACCAUGCACCGAAGCUGCGGCAGCGACGCUUAUGCGUUGUUGGGUAGGGGAGCGUUCUGUAAGCCUGCGAAGGUGACCUGUGAGGGUUGCUGGAGGUAUCAGAAGUGCGAAUGCUGACAUAAGUAACGAUAAAGCGGGUGAAAAGCCCGCUCGCCGGAAGACCAAGGGUUCCUGUCCAACGUUAAUCGGGGCAGGGUGAGUCGACCCCUAAGGCGAGGCCGAAAGGCGUAGUCGAUGGGAAACAGGUUAAUAUUCCUGUACUUGGUGUUACUGCGAAGGGGGGACGGAGAAGGCUAUGUUAGCCGGGCGACGGUUGUCCCGGUUUAAGCAUGUAGGCGGAGGUUCCAGGUAAAUCCGGUACCUUUUAACGCUGAGGUGUGAUGACGAGGCACUACGGUGCUGAAGUAACAAAUGCCCUGCUUCCAGGAAAAGCCUCUAAGCAUCAGGUAACAUUAAAUCGUACCCCAAACCGACACAGGUGGUCAGGUAGAGAAUACCAAGGCGCUUGAGAGAACUCGGGUGAAGGAACUAGGCAAAAUGGUGCCGUAACUUCGGGAGAAGGCACGCUGAUAUGUAGGUGAAGUCCCUGCGGAUGGAGCUGAAAUCAGUCGAAGAUACCAGCUGGCUGCAACUGUUUAUUAAAAACACAGCACUGUGCAAACACGAAAGUGGACGUAUACGGUGUGACGCCUGCCCGGUGCCGGAAGGUUAAUUGAUGGGGUUAUCCGUAAGGAGAAGCUCUUGAUCGAAGCCCCGGUAAACGGCGGCCGUAACUAUAACGGUCCUAAGGUAGCGAAAUUCCUUGUCGGGUAAGUUCCGACCUGCACGAAUGGCGUAAUGAUGGCCAGGCUGUCUCCACCCGAGACUCAGUGAAAUUGAACUCGCUGUGAAGAUGCAGUGUACCCGCGGCAAGACGGAAAGACCCCGUGAACCUUUACUAUAGCUUGACACUGAACAUUGAGCCUUGAUGUGUAGGAUAGGUGGGAGGCUUUGAAGCGUGGACGCCAGUCUGCGUGGAGCCAACCUUGAAAUACCACCCUUUAAUGUUUGAUGUUCUAACGUAGACCCCUAAUCGGGGUUGCGGACAGUGUCUGGUGGGUAGUUUGACUGGGGCGGUCUCCUCCCAAAGAGUAACGGAGGAGCACGAAGGUUAGCUAAUCCUGGUCGGACAUCAGGAGGUUAGUGCAAUGGCAUAAGCUAGCUUGACUGCGAGCGUGACGGCGCGAGCAGGUGCGAAAGCAGGUCAUAGUGAUCCGGUGGUUCUGAAUGGAAGGGCCAUCGCUCAACGGAUAAAAGGUACUCCGGGGAUAACAGGCUGAUACCGCCCAAGAGUUCAUAUCGACGGCGGUGUUUGGCACCUCGAUGUCGGCUCAUCACAUCCUGGGGCUGAAGUAGGUCCCAAGGGUAUGGCUGUUCGCCAUUUAAAGUGGUACGCGAGCUGGGUUUAGAACGUCGUGAGACAGUUCGGUCCCUAUCUGCCGUGGGCGCUGGAGAAUUGAGGGGGGCUGCUCCUAGUACGAGAGGACCGGAGUGGACGCAUCACUGGUGUUCGGGUUGUCAUGCCAAUGGCACUGCCCGGUAGCUAAAUGCGGAAGAGAUAAGUGCUGAAAGCAUCUAAGCACGAAACUUGCCCCGAGAUGAGUUCUCCCUGAGACUUUAAGUCUCCUGAAGGAACGUUGAAGACGACGACGUUGAUAGGCCGGGUGUGUAAGCGCAGCGAUGCGUUGAGCUAACCGGUACUAAUGAACCGUGAGGCUUAACCUUACAACGCCGAAG